rnacentral:rRNA from 1 species
UACGGAGGAUGCGAGCGUUAUCCGGAUUUAUUGGGUUUAAAGGGUGCGUAGGCGGAGUGCCAAGUCAGCGGUAAAAAUGCGGUGCUCAACGCCGUCGAGCCGUUGAAACUGGCGUUCUUGAGUGGGCGAGAAGUAUGCGGAAUGCGUGGUGUAGCGGUGAAAUGCAUAGAUAUCACGCAGAACUCCGAUUGCGAAGGCAGCAUACCGGCGCCCUACUGACGCUGAGGCACGAAAGCGUGGGUAUCGAACAGG